ensembl:lncRNA
CUUCAGAGUCCUCAGUGACAUCAUUUGCAGACAUAAGCUACCACUUCUAGCUUUAGGCACUUACUUUGUUCAAAGCUUUCUCAGUAUUGAAGUCAUUUUUUUCUUCUUUAUGGCACUAAUCUCAUCACAGGAUCAUUGAUCUAAGGCUGAUAAGGGUUUAACAGACCAUCUAGUUCCAUCCCCUUUUUUUUACCAAGGCUGACUUUGACCAAGGCUACAACAAUAACAGCCAUCAGAGUCUCAGGCCCUCAAUCCCAGGACAAUGUCUCCACCACUAGAAGAAUGACCUAUGAUGCAGAAGGAGUCAAAAUGAGGAGAGAUGGAGAAUGGAAUCAGAGAAUCUUCAAGUUACAAAUCAUCAAAUAGAGCUUUCAAUGAUCCAUGAUCACAGGAGCCAACAAGAAAUUAUUAUAAGUCCUGAAGGACUCAAGGAACAGGAUGGAUUAACCUAUCCUAUCAAUUGUUCAUGCUCUGUGAAUAUAUCAAGUUUUUUGGAAAAGAGGGAGCUUGUGUUAGCAAAGUCCUGACAAGAAGACAAGUACAUUACUAAUGGAGAAAUAAGUAAAAGACUUGCCAUGGAAUCUCUGGGUAACUUAGCAAAGUACAGUGUUAACUCAGGGAAGGAACCUUUUGUCAGUUCCGCCUCCUAUGCUUUCAGUCAUUCCCAUUUGGGAUGCCACCUUUGCCCUCCAACAUCCUGGUCCUUUUACCUGUUCAUCCCUUCUUCUUUGAGCUAUAUAAUUUGGCUGCUAUCAUUGUAGGGCAUGUUUUUUCCCCAGAAAGACUCAGGGACCAAUCGAAGGACUGGAAACUGGUGACAUUAACAUAUCCUGUGCAUAGACAUAUAGUUCAGAGUUGAAAGUAGACAUGGGACCUUUCGUGAAUCUCUGGCAGAGUUCCAGAGAUGGAUACCUUGCAAAGGGCUGACAGGAGGAGCUCUAAGAUGAGGAAGGUAGUUACUUGUAGGACUCUUCAUCUAUUUUAAUAUAUUAACCAUAAACACCUGCUAUUACAACCAUCAAGAUCACAGUGCCUUAUACUUAAUGGAUGCUCAAUAAGGGUAUGUUGACUGAUCUUCCAAAAACAGAGAUUUAACCAUGUCAUCUUCCCCCUCACUCAAAACUUUUCAGGGAACUCCAUUGCCACUAGGAUAAAAUGCAAAAUCCUCAGUCUGGUGUUCAAAACCUUCUGUAAUGUGGCUCCCACCCACCUACAUCCUUUCUGGUAUUAUUCAUAUUAUUCCUCCUCAUGCACUCUCUUUUCCAUUUUAAGGACUCUACUGGCUUUUCCCCAUUAAUGUCACAUAUUUCUUGCCUCUGGUCCUCUGUGAAGUCAGUGCUUAAAUCUAGAACUCCUUCUCUCCUCAUUUUCACCUCAAGAAUACCUAGCUUCCUUCAAAGCCCAGUUCAGGCAAAAUCUCCUACAGGAGCCCUUUCCUAAUCUCACAGCUAGUGAUUAGGUCUCUGCCUCUAUUGAAAUUACUUUUUUGGUCCUUUAUGUAUAUUUUGUAAUUGCUUAUUUUGGGGCAUGUCUUAUACUCCCUCACCUAAGCAGAAUGUAAGUUCCUUUGUUGUUGCUUUUAUUUUACCCCCCUAGCACCAACUACAGAGCUUUGCACAUAGUUGGUGCUUAAUAAAUGCUUUUCAAAUUGAUUUAAACA